rnacentral:misc_RNA from 1 species
GAAAUGCGAUAAGUAAUGUGAAUUGCAGAAUUCAGUGAAUCAUCGAAUCUUUGAACGCACAUUGCGCCCGCCAAUAUUCUGGCGGGCAUGCCUGUUCGAGCGUCAUUACAACCCUCAGGCCCCCGGGCCUGGCGUUGGGGAUCGGCGGAAGCCCCCUGCGGGCACAACGCCGUCCCCCAAAUACAGUGGCGGUCCCGCCGCAGCUUCCAUUGCGUAGUAGCUAACACCUCGCAACUGGAGAGCGGCGCGGCCACGCCGUAAAACACCCAACUUCUGAAUGUUGACCUCGAAUCAGGUAGGAAUACCCGCUCAACUUAAGC